rnacentral:ncRNA from 2 species
UUUUUUGAUCUGAGGCCAAGUGUCGUAGCUUGGCUGGAAUAUUGGGGAAAGUCCGGUGAGAUUCCGGCACUGUCGCGCAACGGUAUGGCUCAAUGCUAAGUCCGAAUGCCCACUCAGUUCGAGUUGAUCAA